CUUUCACAGAGAGAUUUAUCGAGAAUGCUAACAGCACAGGAUACAGUACUUCCCAACAAAAGGUGCAAACGCGUCACUUAAAAGGCAUGCUGAGUAUUCUUGGCUUUCACACGUAUUAAAAAACUUACAAAAAUAAAAGGAAACUGCGUGCUGCCCAUCUUUUCAAAUAGUAAAAGAACCUUAUGAAAAAAUCACUUGAUUUUACAACAAAAGACACAAACGGACAUUUUUAUGUAAAUUUAUAAGGCAAACUCUUUAUAUAAUAAAUAGGUUACAGGGAUUCAGUGGGGGGUGUUUUUGAAACGUAUACAGGUACAUUCAGACAGGUUUACUGAAAUGGUACAAAUUUCCUUAAUAAAUUGCCUUUUGUUUUUAAAUAUAUCAGUGCUUUCAGUCAUUUGGCUAUACACAAAGAACCUUUUUUUGAACACUACAAAAAAGCAAUCAAUAUUUUUUGUUUUUAAAACGACCUACUUAUUUUUCUAAAGUAAUUGUCCCAAAACACAAAAACUGAAGGUGAAUGCGAUAGAGGGCUUUUGGAGACAUCUCCAGCCAAGUCUGUCCUGGGCUGUUCCCCGCGCCCCACGCACGCCUUGCCCACCCUCGGGCGGGCUUCUGGGCUGGAGCCAGCUCCCUCUGCACUGGGCCACCUGUGUCACUGCGACUCAGGACGGGGCAGCGACUCUGUCGGGUUCUUGCCGCUACUCAACCCCACGCGCAAACAGUCGCCACAGUCAGCACUGUGCUCACCUUUCAGAGGAGGGGCCGCCAGGCGCUAAGGGGGCACGCGUUUGUCCCUGCUCCAUCAGCCCUCCACAGUGUCUGGGAGGCAACGGCUUCUCUGAGAAGGAGGAUCUGGACUUGCCAUGAAAAAAGAAGGGGGUUUCUCACGUCCAAAUUUUGCUGGGGAUUGGAUGACAGCAAAGAGAGGGCACCCCCUCCGCCAUCACCUCUUCGUCUGGGCACGGGGGGGGAUUGAGAGGUCACGUCACGAGCGAGCACUGCGGGACGGGGCGGGAGGGGACGACGGUGCCCUGAUCAGUAAUGCCCACCCUGAACAGUAAUGCCCUGUCAACGUAUACCCGACCUGUGGCCAUGGCGCAGGUCUCCAGGGAGAUGCCCACCCUCUGUCUGAGCUGCACCACUCGGGCCCGCCCCAACCUUCUCCCACUGAGGCCAGGUUGGCUCUGCUCACACCCCUCGCGGGAACAUCAGCCUUGUCUGUCCUUAUUGAAAACAUAACCAUGAUGCGAAUAAUCUCGGGGGGGGGGGGGCAAAAGAAUUCACCGAAUGGAACAAAACCUGGUUUGGCUCUAACUUCGAAAACGGCAACACAUCAGCUAUUCGGUCCAUUGGCUUUAGGCUUAACUUCUUUGGGUGGCUUCUGGCUGGUCUGGGCAGGGGUCUCGUCUUUGGAUCUCCCCUCCUGGGGAAAAAGGACAGCCCCUCCAGUCCCGGUUACUGUCCCCUCCCUCCGAAUUCUUUUGUUUGUAAAGAAAAGGUGUCUAGAAGCAUUUGUCUCUGGAACAAUUACUUUAAACAUGGUUACAAUACAGACUUCAGUUCAAACACAGAAGAGAUUUACUUAGCAAAGUUCCUUUCACCCACCAAAAAUUACACAAAUAUAAGCCUCAACACCACAGUUAAGAGGACCAGUAGAGAGAAUCUUAUGUUUGGAACACAAAAGGAGAAAUAAAAACCAAACCAAACCCAAACAGAAAAACCCCAGAGAGACGAGGGGAGGGUGGAGGAGGGCAGGAGAGCAAACACAGCACACGUUACAGUGUCGGGGACACGGGAGCCCCGCGCGAGGAGGGGCUCGGCACACACUGAGUAACAGUCCUGGUGAUAUUUGGUCAUAUAUUCAUCAACUACGGACUCCGGAGCGGCUGUUAUUGAUUGAAGCAGUGACAAAUCGAACGGAAAAGGAGGCCUCGGUAGCAAGGGAAGGAGUAGGCAUCAGGUUCCGCAAGCCUUUUUUGCGCUCCACCGUCCAGCUCCCCAGAAACACUGACCUGGGUGGGCCCCGCUCUGCCGGGCGGGGCUGGAGGUCAGCGGAUGAGGCUACCUCUGCGCUGAUCUCGGAUUCCAGCAGAAAGCACGCACGUGGACACACGCGGACACCCACCUGUGACAGUUGGAUGGGGGCUGGCGUGGCGCCGGGCUUCUGCCACCCCGGGUGGGACGACACAGGCUAUAGCCGCUGGCCAUCUCUGUCUGCUCUAAAGAAGCCAGCUGUCCCUGGCCGCACACCUCCUUGUCCCGACGUGGCUGCGGGGGGCGGGGGGGGGGAGGUGGGGCGCUGGAGGCAGGGCAGGGUGGGGGGAGAGGAGAGCUGAGACCGGGGCGCCAAAGGCACCAAAACCAGGAGCGUCCUCUCAACGGCUCUCUGUCCCUAACGACCACGUGAGGGGAGGGCUGGGUGGGGAGGUGCAGGCGUACCCUAAGAAGCCUGGUCAACAGCUUGUCUGGUCAGUAGUAUCUGCAGCAAGCCUUGUUGAAGGAGCCUAGUUUAGAAAAGUGCAAAGCUACUUCUGGCCCUGGUUAGGUCUUCAACCUGACUGUGCUUGUCGGUAAGAAAAACAUCCCCAAUGCUCCAACUACUCCCACCCUGAAGCCACGAAACUCUAAGUUUACUGAAAGAAAAAAAAAUAUUUUUUAUUUCAGUUAAUCGGGAAGCUUUGUCAGAGCCCUACCCAUAAGGAGAAGAGACAACAGCUGCCUUUAUUCUUGUUGGUUUGCUUGGCCAUCCGCUCU
rnacentral:lncRNA from 9 species